AGUCGUAACAAGGUCUCCGUUGGUGAACCAGCGGAGGGAUCAUUACUGAGUUACCGCUCUAUAACCCUUUGUGAACGUACCUAACCGUUGCUUCGGCGGGCAGGGGAAGCCUCUCGCGGGCCUCCCCUCCCGGCGCCGGCCCCCACCACGGGGACGGGGCGCCCGCCGGAGGAAACCAAACUCUAUUUACACGACGUCUCUUCUGAGUGGCACAAGCAAAUAAUUAAAACUUUUAACAACGGAUCUCUUGGUUCUGGCAUCGAUGAAGAACGCAGCGAAAUGCGAUAAGUAAUGUGAAUUGCAGAAUUCAGUGAAUCAUCGAAUCUUUGAACGCACAUUGCGCUCGCCAGCAUUCUGGCGAGCAUGCCUGUUCGAGCGUCAUUUCAACCCUCAAGCACCGCUUGGUUUUGGGGCCCCACGGCCGACGUGGGCCCUUAAAGGUAGUGGCGGACCCUCCCGGAGCCUCCUUUGCGUAGUAACUAACGUCUCGCACUGGGAUCCGGAGGGACUCUUGCCGUUAAACCCCCAAAUUCUUUACAGGUUGACCUCGGAUCAGGUAGGAAUACCCGCUGAACUUAAGCAUAUCAAUA
rnacentral:misc_RNA from 1 species